rnacentral:misc_RNA from 1 species
UUAAGCCACUUGUGUUCUCUAAAGAUGAGAAGAUCAUAAGAGAAGGAGAUCCAGUGCACAGGGUUGUGUUCAUUGUUCGUGGACGUGUAAAAAGUAGCCAAAACCUCAGUAAAGGAGUGAUUGCCACAAGCAUACUUGAGCCUGGAGGCUUCUUUGGAGAUGAACUUCUUUCCUGGUGCUUACGCCGUCCCUUUAUUGACAGACUUCCAGCUUCUUCCGCAACCUUCACUUGCAUUGAAUCUACAGAAGCAUUUGGCUUAGAUGCAAACCACCUUCGAUUUAUCACGGAUCACUUCAGAUACAAAUUUGCAAACGAGAGGCUGAAGAGAACAGCAAGGUAUUAUUCAUCCAAUUGGAGAACCUGGGCUGCUGUGAAUAUACAGUUAGCUUGGCGACGUUACAUGAUGAGGACUAGCCGUCCCACUAUACAUGUGAUCGAAAAUGGGGAUAAUGAUCAUCGUCUUCGCAAGUAUGCUGCAAUGUUCUUGUCAAUCAGA